rnacentral:rRNA from 1 species
AUAUGCAUACAACUUAGUGUUAAUGCAUUAGAUCCCAUAAGAACUCUACAGUUAAGCGCGCUCAGCCUAGAGUAUUACUAGGAUGGGUUACCACCCAAGAAUUCCUAGUAUUUUACAUGCC